rnacentral:lncRNA from 1 species
UAAGAUUUAGUAGCGAAACGAAUCAGCGCGCAGCAUAGUGCGCAUGAGUCUACAGUUGAAAAGCGUGGUGACAGGUCGUGUUUCGCCGGCAGAGAUUAUCGUUUGAUUGAAGCUUCGAUGGCGGGAUGGCUUUGAAAGUUUUUGCACACAUCAUUAAAAUUAAGAAAUAAUCCAACGAUUUUCAUGCAGAUAUGAUAAAUAGCUGAUUGCUGUAAUUAGUUUAGGCGGGAAAGAGGAUUUCAAUAUGGACGCCAUGAUGACAGAAAAGUAGAUUCUCUCAAUAUGUAAGUACUUUAAUGAUUCCUUUUUAUUGAAUUAUUAGUUAUA